rnacentral:misc_RNA from 1 species
AAUCCUCAACUCCGAUCGAUUUGUUUCGACCCCGGGGCUUGGACUUGGAGUGUGCUGGCGUCUGGUCGGCUCCUCUCAAAUGCAUCAGCGGAAUUGAACCUUUGGGGUUUCCGGACAUCAGUGUGAUAAUCAAUGUUGUGCUGUUGUCUGACCUCAAAAGUCCGCUCACAAUCGUCCCUUCGUGGACAAAGCUCAUCAA